rnacentral:rRNA from 1 species
UACAGAGGGUGCGAGCGUUGUCCGGAAUCACUGGGCGUAAAGGGCGCGUAGGUGGCGACCCAAGUCGAUGGUGAAAGCUCGCCGCUCAACGGCGAGUCGGCCACCGAUACUGGGUUGCUGGAGCACUGUAGAGGCAGAUGGAAUUCCGGGUGUAGCGGUGGAAUGCGUAGAGAUCCGGAAGAACACCGGUGGCGAAGGCGGCCUUCUGGACAGUGACUGACGCUGAGACGCGAAAGCGUGGGGAGCAAACAGG